UUAGCUGAGCUGAUUUAACAAAGCUGCAGUAAUUAAACCUCAUACACUUCAGGCAGGGGAUUCAGCUCCGAGUGCUAUCAGGAUCCUGUCUCGGAAGGAAAAUCUUUUUGGUGUGAGCAGCUGAGAGGAUUUAAACCAAGGAGAAGCUGGCCAGGGAUGUGGAAGGUGCCCUGUUAGAAUUGCUGGGAAAUGACUGAACUGGUGCAGAGGGUCAGGAGGAAGGAAGGAGAGCCCUGGAUCUAUGCAGAGGUUCCUGGACUCCAGCACUGGCUGACCAUGCCCAGCUCAACACUUUUGAUGAAAAGGUGUCAGCCCUGCCCGGCUCCCCGAGGAAGCUCCCUCUACGGGCGAUGCUGCGGCAGCGUUGCUCCAGCUCCACGCCGCAUCCUGCUGCAGAAUCCCACGGGUCAGCCCUGCACAGUGGGCAUUAACACCGCAGGAGCAGCCAAGACUUCCAGACGGUGCUCCUGUGAUCUCUGUCAGUGCAGCUGUUUGCUGGGCUGUGAUGGAAAAUGUUGGAUUUUAACCCCACAUAAAGGUUUGGAAAGUGCUUCUACUCAGCAAAGCCAAAGUUUCAGAGCCACCAUCAGAAUGGGCAUAAAACGCCAUAAAGACAUUUCGAUUCUGAAAUAUUGGCACGUCCUUAGAGUAAGUUCAGGGUCAAAGGGAGAUAUGCUGUAGCUGUGAAAUCAAAAAUUCCCUGCCUCUGUGGAAGGUUUGGAGCUUGCCAGGGGCAGGAGAUCUGCCAGAGAGCACUUUGCAGCGCAGAGCUGAGGCUCAGCAAGCGGGAGCAAAACUCUUGGGGGCAGAGGCUUGGUCCUUCAGGGAAAAGAACCAGUUUAUACUUUUGCUGGUUCUGAAGAGAAAAUUGGUGCAUGUUCCUGGUCUGUUAUCCUCCUCCAAGAGAUGAUGUGACAGCACGGGCUGGAGCAGAGCUCCUCUGAAGGGUAAAACCUGACUGUGGGCCACUGCAGGAUGCGAAAUAAAUCCGUGACUGCCAGUCCAAAUCCCCCCGAAGCUCCUGGGGCGUUAGGGGAGGGGCACUGAACGCCAGAACUCUCAUGAAAAUGCUUGUCACCUGCUGUGGUGGGUGGUCUGUGGCUCUGGAGGUGGCAGGGAAGAACAGAGGGUGUCUGGGCUCAGAGAUGUCCCCGACAACCCCGCAAAGCUGAGUUAUGCGGAGUCGUCACGUUAACGUACAGCCGGGGAGAAGGAUGGGAGAAAUACUGCCACGCACAGAUCCAUAUUUUUCUCCACGGAGUAAAAUACUGUGUAAUUUUAUCUAGUUUCUAUGAAACAGUUUAUACUCCUUGUUUAUUUAAAAAAAAAAAGUGGAGGUCGAGGGGGGGGGAAAUCCCCCAUAUUUCACUCCCUCUACUGACAGGCUAUGGAGGAAAAAAUAGAUGGUUUCUUCUGCAUUUAAUAUUUCAAACCAAGUAGACCCAAAAGAAAAGGCAGCAAUUAACCACAAGUACCAGCAAUGCGCUCCUUGUUUUUCUUCUCUCUGGAUUUGGCUACAAAGAAUCAGUUUAGUAUAAACUUAUUUCCAGUCACGUUAAACCUUUUAGCAAUAAUUUUCCAAGCUACGCAGGAAAGCAGCGCAGCCACGCUUGUCUUCCCAGAUUUCGGAGGUGGGACCCGCAUCUCACAUUUGCUCAGGAUUUAAAACCCUUUACAGGAUGGUUAGGAAAUGGUCAGCACAUACCUGACCACACGUUGGAGUAAGCUUUAUGCACAUACACAGGGAAGGAAAUUUAUAAGCCUGGCAGAACCCCAAAAACGGGGCCAAAUGGUGAAGUGGGCAUUGACUGUGGUGCAGGUUCUCUACCUUUGGACAUCCAUAUUUGUGCUUGUACACGCAGGGCGAUGUAUUUUGCCUCCUCCCACUGCAAAUUCCACGUGAGCCCUGCCUGUGGCUCCGUGGCAGGAGCCUGAGCAUCACCUGAGCAUCACCUCGCCCACAAAUGAACCAUUUUGCCAUCACUGCUUGGUUCCUUGACACCUAAAUAGCAGGAUUAGCUGGACCCUCAUCAGGAAUGCAGCAAGGACACAGAGUUCCUUGCCUUCCUUCCCCACACAGCCUGCACCCAGAGCUGGCAGCAUCCUGUGACUAACUCUUCUAGACUGGAUUUCUCCAAGGGACGGCCGGCGCUUAAUUUGGCUGACUCCGCGCUCUGCAGGAGCUCUCAUCCAUGCCAGCUCGAGUCCUAGCAAAAACCCAUCAUCAUUAGCCCUCCAAAGGCACAGCUCGGAUAUUCUCCACCCUGUUCCUGCAGGCUGGGCUGCUCUGUGCGUUCCCACAGACCGAAAUUCCCCUGGUGGGCUCAAUUACAGCAAUCAGCCUUCAUGCUCUUUUCCAUGGCACUGCCGCCUCCCGCUCCGCACGGACACCCUCCCGGAGCAGCAGCUUUCCCACAGGUGUCAGGGGAGAUGACACUGCUCCUGCAGCUACACCAG